GCCGCCGACGUCCAUUUCCGAGCGUGUGCGCGCCGCGGCGCCCGUUCCUCUUCCCCUUUUAUCUGUGCUUCCUGCCGCUAGGACUUAAUGGCGUGCCUGACGCUGCACCGCGCAGAAGUUAAGCCCCUUAUUUUUUUUAAAAAAAAAAGAAAAAGAAAAACAAUACUCAGAACCUCUAUAGAGUGUUGUACCCGCUCCUUGACACUGGUCAUCUCCAUCCUUACUCCCAGGACUUGGAAGGCUCCCAGGCAAUACAAGAAUUGAAGAUGCCUUGCCCGCACCAAACCACACUCCUGGGGGCCUCCGGAAUUGGCCCGACCUGGGAUAGAUGCAAAACUGCCCCCUGACAAGACAGCCUGAGCGGUUUUCUGUCGUCCUUUCUUUUCAUAACUUUAAGCUUUUUUUUUUUUUUUCCAGAGAACUCCUGGGUCCUUGGUUUCUGACGUCGUUGCCUCUUCAGUACAGAGCCUGAGAGGCCUGAUGACAGCAGUCUUCAGGGUAAGGCUUUUAUCCUUGAAGGUGAAGAGAAGAAUUUUUUCCCUUUAUCUUUGUGGAAUUCCACUAAGAGACUGGCCCAGGCCUCUCUCUCCAGAGAAUCCAUUUCCUCCAGAGCCAAGUCUGAGACUAUUAGUUAGUUCAUCAGUGUGUUUCUUGUAGUACUGACAUUUCUCAGAGUCUCAGAGAAUUUGUGAGGUGACUACAGCUCCCACAAGAGAAAUGUGACUCCAAAAUUCGGGACAAGGUGAAGCUAAAAUUUGCAGGAUGCGGAUGACCUCCCCUGAAAGGAGUUGGCACCAUGUGUGUGUACUGCAGAUGAAUCACAAAUGUCUUCUACAGUUCAUAACAAAGACAAGCAAACAUGUAAGAUAAGGCUUGGCAGGAAUCCUACCAUAAUAAAAAAAAGUCAAGAGAAUACUUUAGAGCCCGUUACUGCAUCUUGCCGGAGAAUAACACGACUGUCAAGAGUGUCGAAAGACUUUUUUAAAAAUAGCUUUCUGUGUUUCCCACCUGAACCCCUAGUUCCCUGCAAGACCCCUGGCCUUGGCAGGCCAGACUUCUCUGUCACUCAGCUCAGCAACUACUUCGGGGGAAACAGACUAGUCUCUCCACUUCCUACCCCCUUUCUACAUGAAUAUUCAUACAGACCAUACUCGCACAUAGUUCUAAAGUGAAAAGGUGCAUUCUUCGUAGUGACUCCAGGACAACAGACAGACAUAAGUCAAGACUGUCUCCGGAUAUAAGGUCACCCUACACUUAGCACGGCAUGGACAACAUGUCUCUCUACAUGUAUGCAUUCUACUUUUGGACGAUACAAUUCCCAAAGGCCAGAGACCAAGCCACGCUUAUAACUUUUUGCUUCUCGGGAGACCUUGGACCAGAGCACACACUCAAUAGACAUUCAAUAAAUUAUAAAAAUGAACAUACCAGUUUCCAUUUCUCUUUCCAAGUUUGGCUAAGCUCCUGGGGAAGCCAUGUCUUGAAGGAGCUAAAAACAGAACCAGCUCCAGGGGUGGCCUGAAGUGACAAAGCCUGACUCCGGGCAGGAGCAGCCUGAGACAAGAAAAACAAAUGCCCUAGUUUCUAAAGCACCUAUCAUGUACAAGGCUUGGGCUUAGUAAACAGCAACAAAGUAA